AUUGAACGCUGGCGGCAUGCCUUACACAUGCAAGUCGAACGGUAACGCGGGGCAACCUGGCGACGAGUGGCGAACGGGUGAGUAAUGCAUCGGAACGUGCCCAGUAGUGGGGGAUAGCCCGGCGAAAGCCGGAUUAAUACCGCAUACGACCUAUGGGUGAAAGCGGGGGAUCGAAAGACCUCGCGCUAUUGGAGCGGCCGAUGUCAGAUUAGGUUGUUGGUGGGGUAAAAGCCUACCAAGCCUGCGAUCUGUAGCUGGUCUGAGGGGACGACCAGCCACACUGGGACUGAGACACGGCCCAGACUCCUACGGGAGGCAGCAGUGGGGAAUGUUGGACAAUGGGCGCAAGCCUGAUCCAGCCAUGCCGCGUGCGGGAAGAAGGCCUUCGGGUUGUAAACCGCUUUUGUCGGGGAAGAAAUCUUCUGGGCUAAUACCUUGGGAGGAUGACGGUACCCGAAGAAUAAGCACCGGCUAACUACGUGCCAGCCGCCGCCGUAA
rnacentral:rRNA from 1 species